rnacentral:rRNA from 1 species
UAUGGUCAAGUGAAGAAGCGCAUACGGUGGAUGCCUUGGCAGUCAGAGGCGAUGAAAGACGUGGUAGCCUGCGAAAAGCUUCGGGGAGUCGGCAAACAGACUUUGAUCCGGAGAUGUCUGAAUGGGGGAACCCAGCCAUCAUAAGAUGGUUACCUUACACUGAAUACAUAGGUGUAUGGAGCGAACCAGGGGAACUGAAACAUCUAAGUACCCUGAGGAAAAGAAAUCAACCGAGAUUCCCUUAGUAGUGGCGAGCGAACGGGGACUAGCCCUUAAGUGGCUUUGAGAUUAGCGGAACGCUCUGGAAAGUGCGGCCAUAGUGGGUGAUAGCCCUGUACGCGAAAAUCUCUUAGUCAUGAAAUCGAGUAGGACGGAGCACGAGAAACUUUGUCUGAAUAUGGGGGGACCAUCCUCCAAGGCUAAAUACUACUGACUGACCGAUAGUGAACUAGUACCGUGAGGGAAAGGCGAAAAGAACCCCGGAGAGGGGAGUGAAAUAGAUCCUGAAACCGUAUGCGUACAAGCAGUGGGAGCCCACUUUGUUGGGUGACUGCGUACCUUUUGUAUAAUGGGUCAGCGACUUAUUUUCAGUGGCGAGCUUAACCGAAUAGGGGAGGCGUAGCGAAAGCGAGUCUUAAUAGGGCGUCUAGUCGCUGGGAAUAGACCCGAAACCGGGCGAUCUAUCCAUGGGCAGGUUGAAGGUUGGGUAACACUAACUGGAGGACCGAACCGACUACCGUUGAAAAGUUAGCGGAUGACCUGUGGAUCGGAGUGAAAGGCUAAUCAAGCUCGGAGAUAGCUGGUUCUCCUCGAAAGCUAUUUAGGUAGCGCCUCAUGUAUCACUGUAGGGGUAGAGCACUGUUUCGGCUAGGGGGUCAUCCCGACUUACCAAACCGAUGCAAACUCCGAAUACCUACAAGUGCCGAGCAUGGGAGACACACGGCGGGUGCUAACGUCCGUCGUGAAAAGGGAAACAACCCAGACCGUCAGCUAAGGUCCCAAAGUUAUGGUUAAGUGGGAAACGAUGUGGGAAGGCUUAGACAGCUAGGAGGUUGGCUUAGAAGCAGCCACCCUUUAAAGAAAGCGUAAUAGCUCACUAGUCGAGUCGGCCUGCGCGGAAGAUGUAACGGGGCUCAAACCAUACACCGAAGCUACGGGUAUCACGUAAGUGAUGCGGUAGAGGAGCGUUCUGUAAGCCUGUGAAGGUGAGUUGAGAAGCUUGCUGGAGGUAUCAGAAGUGCGAAUGCUGACAUGAGUAACGACAAUGGGUGUGAAAAACACCCACGCCGAAAGACCAAGGUUUCCUGCGCAACGUUAAUCGACGCAGGGUUAGUCGGUCCCUAAGGCGAGGCUGAAAAGCGUAGUCGAUGGAAAACAGGUUAAUAUUCCUGUACUUCUGGUUAUUGCGAUGGAGGGACGGAGAAGGCUAGGCCAGCUUGGCGUUGGUUGUCCAAGUUUAAGGUGGUAGGCUGAGAUCUUAGGUAAAUCCGGGAUCUUAAGGCCGAGAGCUGAUGACGAGUCGUCUUUUAGACGACGAAGUGGUUGAUGCCAUGCUUCCAAGAAAAGCUUCUAAGCUUCAGGUAACCAGGAACCGUACCCCAAACCGACACAGGUGGUUGGGUAGAGAAUACCAAGGCGCUUGAGAGAACUCGGGUGAAGGAACUAGGCAAAAUGGCACCGUAACUUCGGGAGAAGGUGCGCCGGUGAGGGUGAAGGACUUGCUCCGUAAGCUCAUGCCGGUCGAAGAUACCAGGCCGCUGCGACUGUUUAUUAAAAACACAGCACUCUGCAAACACGAAAGUGGACGUAUAGGGUGUGACGCCUGCCCGGUGCCGGAAGGUUAAUUGAUGGGGUUAGCUAACGCGAAGCUCUUGAUCGAAGCCCCGGUAAACGGCGGCCGUAACUAUAACGGUCCUAAGGUAGCGAAAUUCCUUGUCGGGUAAGUUCCGACCUGCACGAAUGGCGUAACGAUGGCGGCGCUGUCUCCACCCGAGACUCAGUGAAAUUGAAAUCGCUGUGAAGAUGCAGUGUAUCCGCGGCUAGACGGAAAGACCCCGUGAACCUUUACUAUAGCUUUGCACUGGACUUUGAAUUUGCUUGUGUAGGAUAGGUGGGAGGCUUUGAAGCGUGGACGCCAGUUCGCGUGGAGCCAACCUUGAAAUACCACCCUGGCAACUUUGAGGUUCUAACUCAGGUCCGUUAUCCGGAUCGAGGACAGUGUAUGGUGGGUAGUUUGACUGGGGCGGUCUCCUCCUAAAGAGUAACGGAGGAGUACGAAGGUGCGCUCAGACCGGUCGGAAAUCGGUCGUAGAGUAUAAAGGCAAAAGCGCGCUUGACUGCGAGACAGACACGUCGAGCAGGUACGAAAGUAGGUCUUAGUGAUCCGGUGGUUCUGUAUGGAAGGGCCAUCGCUCAACGGAUAAAAGGUACUCCGGGGAUAACAGGCUGAUACCGCCCAAGAGUUCAUAUCGACGGCGGUGUUUGGCACCUCGAUGUCGGCUCAUCACAUCCUGGGGCUGAAGCCGGUCCCAAGGGUAUGGCUGUUCGCCAUUUAAAGUGGUACGCGAGCUGGGUUUAGAACGUCGUGAGACAGUUCGGUCCCUAUCUGCCGUGGACGUUUGAGAUUUGAGAGGGGCUGCUCCUAGUACGAGAGGACCGGAGUGGACGAACCUCUGGUGUUCCGGUUGUCACGCCAGUGGCAUUGCCGGGUAGCUAUGUUCGGAAUAGAUAACCGCUGAAAGCAUCUAAGCGGGAAACUAGCCUCAAGAUGAGAUCUCACUGGAACCUUGAGUUCCCUGAAGGGCCGUCGAAGACUACGACGUUGAUAGGUUGGGUGUGUAAGCGCUGUGAGGCGUUGAGCUAACCAAUACUAAUUGCCCGUGAGGCUUGACCAUA